UACAGAGGGUGCGAGCGUUAAUCGGAGUUACUGGGCGUAAAGGGCGCGUAGGCGGUUCGUUAAGUGAUAUGUGAAAUCCCUGGGCUUAACCUAGGAACUGCAUGUCAUACUGGCGAGCUAGAGUAUUGUAGAGGGUAGUGGAAUUUCCGGUGUAGCGGUGAAAUGCGUAGAGAUCGGAAGGAACACCAGUGGCGAAGGCGGCGUCCUGGACCAACACUGACACUGAGGAGCGAAAGCCAGGGGAGCAAACGGG
rnacentral:rRNA from 1 species